ensembl:lncRNA
UCAAGGUCCACUUUGGGGGGUUCUGCUUUCGGAGCUUGUGGACGUGUAGGAUUUUUUUGUCAUGUUUUUCAUUUUUUCUUGUUGCAGUGUCUGGAUUUCUUUACUUCAACUUUUCCAUUCUUCAGACUUGAGCCAAGUUGGAAGAGAAGAGGGGGAUCUGCCAGGUGGCUGCAUCUUGGAACACAGGCCUUGCUUUCCUGUGCCAUUUUGGAGCAGUCCUGUGUGUGGGAGAAGUACAGCUGUGGGACGCCUGAUGAAAAGAGGUGGUUGAACAACUGGCCUUCAGCUCUAUCACCUUCUUUCAGUACUUGCAAAAAAAACCAGCAACAACAACAACAACAACAACAACAACAACAACAACAACAACAACAACAACAACAACAACAACAACAACAACAACAACAACAACAACAACAACAACAACAACAACAACAAAAAAGACAAAAAAAUCCAAGCCAAAGAUAGUUUAUGUGCAGCUCAGGAAGCUCUCAGCAAUGAGUGUGUCUGUGAUUUAAUAACAUAUCUACCCAAAAUGACACUUCUUCUAAUACUCACUGAGAAAAAGAAGGCAGAGCAGCACACAAGGCACUGCUAUUGCAGCAACAAACAGCCACACUACCAGGUAUUUAUUUUUCAAUGUACACAAUUACUGGGGGAGAAUAAAAAUUAUUCUCUGACACUCUGACAGAGCUGUAGAAAGCCUUGUGCUUCCCCUACUCCCAUGAUCCUGACAAGAAACACCUCACAAAUUCUAAUAAACAGAGAAUAGAAAUAAAUACUUUUAACUACACAGCACCAGGUUUCAAAUGGCUUCCUGAAUCAGAAAGUGCUGCUAGUCCAUCUUCCUUAUUUCCACACUCUGUAAUGGUGGCUCUCCAAAAGUCAAAGUGAGAUGGAUACUGCAAGGAUCACAGACACUACACUGGGAAACCAAGUAUCAGUGGGUACAUCCAGAUUUAUGGUAGGUGAUGGCAGUAAAGUGAAAGUAAAACUGUUUGCACAGUCUGUAUUGUUGGCCAUUACUGUGUAUUUGCCCUUUUUUCUUGCUUAGCUGUGGCUGGAAGAAUGGAAAAUUGUACCUUCUAUACAGUAUUAGGAGACACUUUCUGAUCGUAAGGUCAAUCAGACUGGUUUAGCUGCUUGAGGUAUUUAUGGCACAAUCACUCAGUGUCUUUAAGGAAAGGUUAGAUACAUUUAUGGGAAAGGUAUUUUGCAGAAGCUUUCCUGCUUCGUAGAGGUCUUGGACAAAAUGACCCAGGAGGCCCCUUCCAAGUCUAUCAAAUAUGGUUCCCUGAUUGAUGCUGUUUCCCCCCAAAGUCUUUUGAAAACACAAAGCACUGUUAUAAAAUUUAAUAUGAUAUACUCUAUAACUUUAACACAAUGCCAUUUUCUUACAGGAAAUGGUUAGCUGGUAGCACAGGAGCCUCGUGCAAGAGGAAGAAACGUAGAAGAAAAGAAAUUGCAGUGCAGUUUCUCUGCCGAGGGAUAUCGACUGUAACAUUUACUCUGUGUCUGAGCAUGGACCCUCAGCUGUGCAGGGGGACACCAAGCCAAGGAAGGAUAUAAGGAACCCAGGCUAUGGAAUUUAUUUCUCCAGAAAAGCCUGACAAGGCCUGAGGUAAUUUUCUGUGCUGUGCAGUAAUCACUCCCUCAGUGCAGGGAACAAAUGGACACCCAGCUCUCCGUGUAAGUCACGGCCUGGUGCUGUUUCCCCUGGGCCCCAGGCAGAGGGACCGGGAGAUCCCAGCCCUCCUGCACGGCUCAGGUGUGUCCUGCACUACCUGCACCAGUGAGGACACCCUGCAGUGGGAAGGGCCAUUCUGUGACUCCUCACUCUCUGCCUUGGCUCUGUCCUGGCCUGCUGCCAUCCCAGCAGCACCACGGAGCAGGCGGAGCAAAUCCUGAAGACUGCGAGCGCCAGAAUCUGCACGGCUAAAAGAGGGCAGCAGCACCCCGGUAACGUUUGUCUGCUGAUGGAGACUCAGCAAGAGAGCUUGGGCCACAUCUCCCUUGGCUGAGUACACAUUGUUUGUCAGGCAGAAUGCUCUCCCGGCCUUCUAUGCUCCCACCAAACCAUUCAGUAAAAGGAUAAUAUUUUUCUUCCUACUACACUUCCCUUUUUUUUUAUUGCUGAAUGUUUCCUAAAUUGACUUUUUUUUUCCUUUGAAACCAUUAACAUAUUUAAAAACUAAAGUCAUGUAAUGAUUUAAAACAAAAAAAAAAAAAAAAACAGGGGGGGGGGGGGGGGGGGGGGGGGGGGGGGGGGGGGGGGGGGGGGGGGGGGGGGGGGGGGGGGGGGGGGGGGGGGGGGGGGGGGGGGGGGGGGGGG